GCGCUGGUGCUGGAACUGGCAGACAGGCAUGGUUGAGGGCCAUGUGGAGAGAUCCGUGGAGGUUCAAGUCCUCUCCAGCGCA
rnacentral:tRNA from 1 species